rnacentral:rRNA from 1 species
GGAAUAGGUCCGGGAAACCGGAAUUAAUACCGCAUAACGUCAUGCUCCGAUGGGAGUGUGAUCAAAGGUGGGGACCUUCGGGCCCAUCGCUUGUAGAUAAGCCUGCAUCUGAUUAGUUAGUUGGUAGGGUAACGGCCUACCAAGACCGCGAUCAGUAGCUGUUCUAAGAGGAAGAUCAGCCACAUUGGGACUGAGAUACGGCCCAGACUCCUACGGGAGGCAGCAGUGAGGAAUUUUGCGCAAUGGGAGAGAUCCUGACGCAGCAACGCCGCGUGACCGAUUGAAGCUUUUAGGAGUGUAAAGGUCUGUCGUGAGGGAAGAAAAAGACCGAGAAUAAUAAGUUCGGUAAUUGACGGUACCUCACAAGCAAGCUCCGGCUAACUUCGUGCCAGCAGCCGCGGUAAUACGAGGGGAGCAAGCGUUGUCCGAAAUAACUGGGCGUAAAGGGUACGUAGGCUUUUUUGUAUGUUUCCGGUGAAAUUCACAGGCUCAACUUGUGACUUGCCGGAAAAACUGCAGAGAUUGAAUCCGGAAGGGGAAAGCGGAAUUCCUGGUGUAGCGGUGAAAUGCGUAGAUAUCAGGAGGAACACCAGUGGCGAAGGCGGCUUUCUGGUCCGGAAUUGACGCUGAGGUACUAAAGCGUGGGUAGCAAACAGGAUUAGAUACCCUGGUAGUCCACGCCCUAAACGAUGGAUACUUGAUGUCGGGAUGUUCGGUCGUCUCGGUGUCGUAGCUAACGUGUUAAGUAUCCCGCCUGGGGACUACGGUCGCAAGACUGAAACUCAAAGGAAUUGACGGGGGCUCACACAAGCGGUGGAGGAUGUGGUUUAAUUCGAAGCAACGCGAAGAACCUUACCAGGCCUUGACAUGCAGGGAUAACCGUGGUGAAAGCCGCGGGAUUGCCUUUACGGGUGUAACCUGCACAGGUGCUGCAUGGCUGUCGUCAGCUCGUGCCGUGAGGUGUUAGGUUAAGUCCUUUAACGAGCGAAACCCCUAUCGUCAGUUGCCAUCGGUUCGGCCGGGGACUCUGGCGAGACUGCCGCGUUGAAGCAGGAGGAAGGUGGGGACGACGUCAAGUCAUCAUGGCCCUUAUGGUCUGGGCUACACACGUCCUACAAUGGGCGGUACAGAGGGUUGCCAAGCCGCGAGGCGGAGCCAAUCCCUUAAAGCCGUCCCCAGUUCGGAUAGCAGGCUGCAAUUCGCCUGCUUGAAGCCGGAAUCGCUAGUAAUCGCGGGUCAGCUAUACCGCGGUGAAUCUGUUCCUGAGCCUUGUACACACCGCCCGUCAAGCCACCCGAAUUGGUCGCACCCGAAGUCAUAGUUCCAACCUCGUGAGGGACGUGCCGAAGGUGAGGC